AAGUUUUGUCGUUUUCCUCAUAUAGAUUUUGUAUACAUUUUGUUAGAUUUUUACUUAGUACCAUUGUUUUGGUGCUAAUUUAAAUGUUAUGGUUUUAAGACACAGCUUCUCGGUUCUGGCUGUUUCCUCCACCCCAUGGUGGCUACUUUGCCUGAGUCCCCUUCACCUGGGUCAACGCCUGGCCUCGCUGCCUCACCCAACACCCCAUGAGGGGAAGGGCUGAGCGGCCCUGAGGGUCAGGUCUAAGGAAGCUGGGGUGGGAAGAAAUGGGAUCAGAACUCAGCAUGAGAAGACCUGGGGAGGCAGCGGCGGUGAGGUGGGGAGGGCACGGCAGGGCAGGGCAGGGACUGCAGCGGGUGGAUCUCGGAUCGCGUCUCCCCUUGGCGCCCACAGCAGCACCCACUACAGAGGGCUCGGGAGCACUCUGUAUCCUGGUGACCUACAGGAGCCAUGGCUGGGUGACAGCAGUUCCCUGAGGGCAAGGACCCCAUCUUCCAGGGUUACCUGGCUCUCCCUGGAGCCCACCACAGCCUGGAGCCCGCCACAGCCUGGGGCCCGCCACAGCCUGGAGUUUCAGGGCUCCUCAGUGCAUGCUCAUGAAAUAAACAACAGCACCUGCCCGUGGGUGGCUG
rnacentral:lncRNA from 1 species